GAUGAACGCUGGCGGCGUGCCUAAUACAUGCAAGUCGAGCGAACGGACGAGAAGCUUGCUUCUCUGAUGUUAGCGGCGGACGGGUGAGUAACACGUGGAUAACCUACCUAUAAGACUGGGAUAACUUCGGGAAACCGGAGCUAAUACCGGAUAAUAUUUUGAACCGCAUGGUUCAAAAGUGAAAGACGGUCUUGCUGUCACUUAUAGAUGGAUCCGCGCUGCAUUAGCUAGUUGGUAAGGUAACGGCUUACCAAGGCAACGAUGCAUAGCCGACCUGAGAGGGUGAUCGGCCACACUGGAACUGAGACACGGUCCAGACUCCUACGGGGGGCAGCAGUAGGGAAUCUUCCGCAAUGGGCGAAAGCCUGACGGAACAACGCCGCGUGAGUGAUGAAGGUCUUCGGAUCGUAAAACUCUGUUAUUAGGGAAGAACAUAUGUGUAAGUAACUGUGCACAUCUUGACGGUACCUAAUCAGAAAGCCACGGCUAACUACGUG
rnacentral:rRNA from 1 species